AUAGUCCCCCGGCGCAGCACUCCCUAGCCCUCUGUAUCCCCUUUGUGCAGCCAUCUCCUCUUUGCCCCAUAGUCCUCUGGGGCAGCUGCUCCCCCAUCCCUUUCCCACCACAGUCUCCCUUAUGCAGCUACCCCAGCCCCUCAUGGCCCACCUUGUGCAGCUACCCCCUUCCUUUCCUCCAUGCCCUCCUCCCCCAGUGCAGGUAUCCCCUCCCAUGGCUUUCCUGGUGCAGUUAGGUCUCUUGCCUACCCCCUCUGAUUCUCCUAGCUUUUCUGUUUUAUCCCCACUUCUUUUUCCAGAUGCCUGCACUGUUAUCUUCCUCCUUACUUUUCUCAAUCCCCCAACCCAGGAAUCCCCUCCCAUUGCUAUCCCUCCUUCCUGAUUCUUCAUUCUUCUUUUCUUCCAUUUAUUUACCCUCCCCUCCCAUCUUUUAUUUCCUUGCCAAUUCUCAACAUUGUGGCACCUUUUAUUUCUCUCUAACAUCCUUUCCCCCCUCCCCUUUCCUUGAUCCUUUUAAGACUUUUUAUUUUCUGCCUUUCCAAUUCCCUCUCCUAAAUCAACUUGAGGAUCUAAUUCCUCUCCUUUCCCCAAUACAGUUGGUACUCUUAGCAUACACUCCCACCCACAUAUAUUUCUUAGUAUCUUUUUUUACCUCUUAUCCCAGUUCCCCGUGAGCCCUGUAUAUUUCUGUUUUUUUCCACCAUUGCAAUCUGCCUGUCACUUUUAUUCUCUGUUCCGUACUCCAGCCCCUAGUCCCUUUUGUGCAUCUCUCUCUCCCUCCCAUCAUCUUCAUUCUUCUCUGCAACAGCUGGGGUUUCUGCAGUGUCUUUCUCUAGAUAGAGGGUGGAAAAGUCUUGCAAAAAUUAAAAGGAAGAACAGAGGAGGAAUGCCCGAUUCAUGCGCAGAUUGCAGCAUACCUGAAUGCCCCCAAGACAGAGUCAGCUCAAGAUUCCAAAAAAUGGAUGUCCAUAACUUACGAUAUAGUUCUGCUUUGGUAUUGCUGACUCAAACCACAGAAG